UCACAUCUAAGAAGGUAGAUGUACAUGAAGUGACUUGCCCACAUAGUGAACUGUGAGUUUGGUACAUGUUAGGCAUGAGGAGGAGAAGGCAAUGACAACCCACUCCAGUACUUUGCCUGGGAAAUUCCAGGGACAGCGGAGCCUGGUGGGCUGCCCUCUAUGAGGUCACACAGAGUAGGACAUGACUGAAGUGAGUUAGCAGCAGCAUCAGUAGCAGUCAUGGGGUAGGAUCUACAGACAGUGACCAAGACAGGAGAAUGAUAAACUCCGGGAGAAAGACUUCCCGAAAACAAUACAAUUAAGGUGGAAUCUGGAAGAUGAGAAGAAAUUUGCUANNCAAAGUGGAGUGGAGUCUUCUAGGAAGGAAGACCAGCUUGUGUCAAGCAUCACCAUGAAAAGNNNNNUUAUUGCUUGUUCUGACGACUGCACGGCCAUGGUGGGCACUGGUGCAUCACAUAUCCAAGGCCCAGGAAGACUGGUCGAUAACAUACAGAAGCUCAUUGGUGCCACACCUCGGGGUUCCAAGAACUACAUGACUGAAGCUGGGGAGAGACAGCACCAAGGAUACUGGCUGGCAGAUUGUCUACACCCUGGAAGAGUUUGUGAUGACCCACCACCUCCUCAUUCAGAGGAAUUAUAAGGGGUAAUGAAAUA
rnacentral:lncRNA from 1 species